rnacentral:rRNA from 1 species
GAUUCUUCGGAUGAGGUUUUUGUGAUUGAGGGGGGGAGGGUGAGUACGGGGGUACCUGCCUCCAUUURAGAUAACAGUUAGAAAUGACUGCUAAUACCGCAUAAGACCACGGAGCCGCAUGGCUCAGUGGGAAAAACUCCGGUGGUAUGAGAUGGACCCGCGUCUGAUUAGGUAGUUGGUGGGGUAACGGCCUACCAAGCCAACGAUCAGYAGCCGACCUGAGAGGGUGACCGGCCACWUUGGGACUGAGAYACGGCCCAAACUCCUACGGGAGGCAGCAGUGGGGAAUAUUGCACAAUGGGGGAAACCCUGAUGCAGCGACGCCGCGUGAGCGAWGAAGUAUUUCGGUAUGUAAAGCUCUAUCAGCAGGGAAKAAAUUGACUGUACCUGACUAASAASCACCGUUUUAAUACGUGCCASCACCCGCGGUAAUACGUAUGGUGCAAGCGUUAUCCGGAUUUACUGSGUGUAAAGGGAGCGUARACGGCUGUGUAAGUCUGAARUGAAAGCCCGGGGCUCACCCCGGGACUGCUUUGGAAACUAUGCAGCUAGAGUGUCKGAKAGGUAGMGGA